rnacentral:rRNA from 1 species
CACGGAGUUAGCCGGUGCUUAUUCGUAUAGUACCCUCAGCUUUCCACACGUGGAAAGGUUUAUCCCUAUACAAAAGAAGUUUACAACCCAUAGGGCCGUCGUCCUUCACGCGGGAUGGCUGGAUCAGGCUCUCACCCAUUGUCCAAUAUUCCUCACUGCUGCCUCCCGUAGGAGUCUGGUCCGUGUCUCAGUACCAGUGUGGGGGAUCACCCUCUCAGGCCCCCUAAAGAUCACUGACUUGGUAGGCCGUUACCCUACCAACUAUCUAAUCUUGCGCGUGCCCAUCUCUAUCCACCGGAGUUUUCAAUAAUCAAUGAUGCCAUCAAUUAUAUUAUGGGGUAUUAAUCUUCCUUUCGAAAGGCUAUCCCCCAGAUAAAGGCAGGUUGCACACGUGUUCCGCACCCGUGCGCCGCUCUCUCAUUUCCGAAGAAACAAUACCGCUCGGCUUGCAUGUGUUAGGCCUCCCGCUAGCGUUCAUCCUGAGCCAGGAUCAAACUCU